rnacentral:rRNA from 1 species
UAGGGAAUCUUCCACAAUGGGCGAAAGCCUGAUGGAGCAACGCCGCGUGUGUGAUGAAGGGUUUCGGCUCGUAAAACACUGUUGUAAGAGAAGAAUGACAUUGAGAGUAACUGUUCAAUGUGUGACGGUAUCUUACCAGAAAGGAACGGCUAAAUAUGUGCCAG